rnacentral:misc_RNA from 1 species
UAAUAACAAUUUGGUGAUAACACUCCCCUUUCUCUCCUGUACUGCAUGGGACUAGUCUAUCAAUUCAAACUCUACAGGACAACCUCAAUUUUCAAAAAUGCAGGCUCUCCACUGGGAUGCUAGCAGAGGGUCAGUGAAACUGGUCUCACUGGAGAAACCCCAGAUUACCAAGCCAGACCAACUGCUCAUCAAGGUGGCUUACAGUGGCGUAUGUGGGACUGAUCUCCAUGUUAUGAAACAAGAGUUUCCAGCAGCUGAAAAAGUUGUCAUGGGGCAUGAGUUUACUGGAACUGUAGAGAAUAUUGGAGGAGAGGUGACUGGAUUCAAAAUUGGAGAUAAUGUUGCAGUUGAUCCAAACAGCUCCUGUAUGAAAUGUGCAUUCUGUCUCAAAGGCCAGCCUAAUUACUGCCCAACAGGGGGUGGUAGGUCAGCAAUUGGAAUGUUCCAGAAUGGAGGGUGGGCAGAGUAUUGUGUGGUCCCUGUAGCCCAGGUGUUUUCCCUCCCAGCAGAUUUGAGUCUUGCUACCAGUGCCCUAUGUGAGCCAAUGUCCUGCCUCCAACGUGGAUGGGACAUGAUUCAGCCAUUACUUGAUGAUGCCAAGAUACUCAUAACUGGCGCUGGUAUGAUUGGACUCCUCUGGGCCUCUCUGCUUCACCACAAAGGCUACAGAAAUAUCACUCUUUCUGAACCGACUGAUGGGAGAAGAAAACUUGCAAAGAACCUUGGGCUCAAUUUGAAAGUGCUUACACCAGACAUCUUAGCAACACAGUACAAAGACGUAGACACAGCAGUUCAUGGGUUUGAUUUAAUCAUGGAUUGUACAGGGUCUCCCCGAGCUAUUGAGGCCAUAUUUCCCUUACUUUGUAGAGGUGCUACAUUGUGUACUUUUGGAUGCUGCCCUAGUGGGUCUAAGGCUAACAUCUGCCCUGCUGAUAUCAUGAUGAAGGAGCUAAGAAUCGUAGGUUCCCUGAUCAACCCCUAUACCUUCAUUAAGGCAGUCCCAUUAGUAGCUGCUAUGGGGGAACGCUACCUGGAUUAUGAAAAGCUAGGGGUCAAGGUCUACAGCCUUGAUGGCUUUGAUGAUGCAUUCAAGGACUUGAAGAAUGGCAAUAUAUCAAAGGCCAUGUUCAAACUCAAUGAAAACUGAAGAUUCAUUGAAAAUAUACCAAGAUAAUUCUUAUAGACAUACAAACAUGAUAUUAAUUAGAUUGAGGAGUAACAGAGUUAUUAUUUGGCAAAACGUAUCCAAUUAUAAUAAAAAAAGUUUGAAACUUAAUAUUUACAAAGAAAAAGCAAAUAUAUUAUGUUUGUGAUUGAGUCCAUUAUUAAACACCAGAAAAUAUAUAAUCAAUACAUAAUUCUCACAAUUCUUUAUUUAAAUUCAAAUUCUCUCUUAGUGAAUUUGUGAAAAUUAAAUUACUGUUGUAUAGACACCAAAAACUGGAAAGUGCAAAAAUAUAUGUAUAUAUAUGAUACAUACCUAAGCCUGAUUUCAUGAUACUGA